rnacentral:lncRNA from 1 species
GCUAAAGCAAAAUCCCUUUUUUUAAAAAGUAAAGAAAUCACCAUCCUUACUGUACAUUUUAUAAAACAUCAGUCUGUGUGCCUGUCAUUUCUCUAUAGAUUCUGAGGGGUUGCUUCUCUGGGUUUCACUGGCUGUCUAUCUGCUGUCCUCUUUAACUCCAUCAGCCCUCUGAAAGCUGCUCUGCUCCACCCAAAAACUAGUCCCGUUACCAUAACUGGUCUGCUGAUCCAGUCCAUUUGUGGUUUCACUUCAGCCAACCUCUCUCGUGCAACAGAAACUACACACCAUCUGUCAGGCCAGUCUGGAUCAAAACAACUGGGAACAGGUCGGUCUUUAGUGAAUGCCAUCGGGAGUGACUCAGCUCUCAUCAGAGGUACUGUGGCAGCAACCUGUUUCAGUGUGGCCCUGCCAUUAUCAUCAAUCAUGAGACAGAAACUGUGUAUAAAGCCAACGGGGAUAAUAUGAUGUCAAGUCAGUUAAUAGACAGUUUCCAACUUGUUCUCCUAUCACAACUUUUUUCCCUUUAUUGGAGUUCAUUUAUACCUUUCUUUUGCUACACCUCAGUGCAGAGGAUCUGGCAGUGAAAUGAUGAUUAAAACUGAACUGCAUGUUGUGCAAAUGAAAGCCCACAGCUGCCUCUCAAACAGCUUGACUGUGACUGAAUACAAAAAGGAAAAUGUGGCUAAUUAGAAUAAAAAUUAUGUUCGACUCCAAGUACAAUUCCUGUCAGUUUUUGCUAUUGCUAACAUCAGUGUAGAUACCUUCUAUUUGCUCAAAUUGCCCAGGGACCCUGGAGAAAAUGCGGACCCUGCAGUACUAAUGAUGGAGCAAAGCAAUUUUGUUUUCCGUGUCUUUUGGGCCACUGACCACUCGCCUUUAGAUAGGAGUUUUAUUUCAUAAUGUUUUGUUUCCUGUUUGGCUCUCCUGUGAUAAUUUAUCCCAAUUGAAAAUAAGACAAAAGCACUCAAGUGUAACCAGCUUCCUCAAUCUGCUUUCAUUUUAGAACAGCAAUGAAUGGUUUCAACCUUUAUCAGGAGUUUCCAGAGGUGGUGUGUGUCCUGCAUUAUGAUUUGCAUAAAGUAGUCCAGACUGUGGGGACGCACCAUAAGGCUUUAACUAGCUUUAUUUCAGUACAUAAAGGACUGAGAGAGUUAUUAUAGUUAUUAUACAGUUAUUUUUACAAGAAGAAAUGUAAAGAUGGAUGCAAACUGGAAGAAACUUUUCAUUUCAACUUUAACAA